rnacentral:rRNA from 1 species
AUGAGAGGGGCCAGGAAAGAAUCAAAGCCAAGACGCAAGAAGCUCCGCUCGCUACCCUGUGGAGGAAGAGACAAGAGGAAGCAGCUUUUCACCCGACCUCGAAAGAGAAAUCGGGAGGAGGAAGACGACGAUGGAUGGGUGGACGGAUGGGGACGGGACCUGAGCGAGCGAGAGCAAUCGGUGGUAGGUUUCCCGAACGGGGAGGGGCAGAGGGGGAGGCGUCAAGGAGAGAGCUGUCCCCUUUUACUCCUCCUCCUCCUCCUUCCCUGCUAUCUUUCUUCUUCGGUGCUCAACGCUGGAUGGGCAGGCGAGGAUUGUGACCGCCGGAGGCGAGAGAGUGGAAACCGGAGGUCCGGAGCAGGGCUUAAUGGCGGCAGAGUAACUGCCCUCCGGUUUUAA